GCCCUCUCGUAUUGCCCCUGGAGAGUUUCCAGGACUCUACCAGUCUCAACUACAGGAGGGAGAGUCAAGCAGGGGUACAACCAUUCCAUUCCUAGCUUGGGCGAUGGCUAGUGCGUGGAAGACAAUCUGCUACAAGU